rnacentral:tRNA from 1 species
CAUUGAAUGGCUGAAGUUUAAGCGAUGGUCUCUUAAACCAAACAAUAGUAAAAUUUACUUUCAAUGA